CCUGCCCCUGGGGGCGUUACAGGUACGGCUGCCGUCACGUGUGAGUCAGUAGUAGCAGAGGGGGGAGAGGUUACCUCUAUGCUAAGUGCUCUUACCUGUGAAUAUCUGAAUGGUUAGUAGCCUGAAAAA